CAGUAGCCGCGGGAAUACGUAGGGGGCAAGCGUUGUCCGGAAUUAUUGGGCGUAAAGCGCGCGCAGGCGGUUUCUUAAGUCUGGUGUCUAAGUGCGGGGCUCAACCCCGUGACGCACUGGAAACUGGGAGACUUGAGUGCAGAAGAGGAGAGCGGAAUUCCACGUGUAGCGGUGAAAUGCGUAGAGAUGUGGAGGAACACCAGUGGCGAAGGCGGCUCUCUGGACUGUAACUGACGCUGAGGCGCGAAAGCGUGGGGAGCAAACAGGAUUAGAUACCCCCGUAGUCCCUGUCUCUUAUACA
rnacentral:rRNA from 1 species